rnacentral:rRNA from 1 species
UACGGAGGGAGCAAGCGUUACUCGGAAUUACUGGGCGUAAAGCGCACGUAGGCGGCUUUGUAAGUUAGAGGUGAAAGCCUGGAGCUCAACUUCAGAAUAGCCUUUAAGACUGCAUCGCUUGAAUCCAGGAGAGGUGAGUGGAAUUCCGAGUGUAGAGGUGAAAUUCGUAGAUAUUCGGAAGAACACCAGUGGCGAAGGCGGCUCACUGGACUGGUAUUGACGCUGAGGUGCGAAAGCGUGGGGAGCAAACAGG